CAGCAGCCGCGGGAAUACGUAGGGUGCAAGCGUUAAUCGGAAUUACUGGGCGUAAAGCGUGCGCAGGCGGUUCGCUAAGACAGAUGUGAAAUCCCCGGGCUUAACCUGGGAACUGCAUUUGUGACUGGCGGGCUAGAGUAUGGCAGAGGGGGGUAGAAUUCCACGUGUAGCAGUGAAAUGCGUAGAGAUGUGGAGGAAUACCGAUGGCGAAGGCAGCCCCCUGGGCCAAUACUGACGCUCAUGCACGAAAGCGUGGGGAGCAAACAGGAUUAGAUACCCCAGUAGUCCCUGUCUCUUAUAA
rnacentral:rRNA from 1 species